AGUGAACGCUGGCGGCAGGCCUAAUACAUGCAAGUCGAACGGCAGCACGGCAGAGCUUGCUCUGUGGGUGGCGAGUGGCGGACGGGUGAGGAAUACAUGGGAAUCUGCCCAGUCGUGGGGGAUAACGUAGGGAAACUUACGCUAAUACCGCAUGCGCCCUUCGGGGAAAGCCGGGGACCUUCGGGCCUGGCGCGAUUGGAUGAGCCCAUGUCGGAUUAGCUAGUUGGCGGGGUAAUGGCCCACCAAGGCGACGAUCCGUAGCUGGUCUGAGAGGAUGAUCAGCCACACUGGAACUGAGACACGGUCCAGACUCCUACGGGAGGCAGCAGUAGGGAAUAUUGGACAAUGGGCGCAAGCCUGAUCCAGCCAUGCCGCGUGAGUGAAGAAGGCCCUCGGGUUGUAAAGCUCUUUUGUCCGGAAAGAAAAGCGCCGGGUUAAUACCCUGGUGUCCUGACGGUACCGGAAGAAUAAGCACCGGCUAACUUCGUGCCAGCAGCCGCGGUAAU
rnacentral:rRNA from 1 species